rnacentral:tRNA from 1 species
GGCUCCAUGGUCAAGAGGUUAAGACAUCGCCCUUUCACGGCGGUAACUCGGGUUCAAUUCCCGAUGGAGUCA